UUAUGCACAUUUAUGCUAUCUACCAAUAAAGAAUUCAGAGUAAUUAAGAUAGAGGAAAAAACAAGGGAGAGUGACCGAGGGAAAGACCCAUUAAAACAACUUGGGUCUCUUGCAAGACAGGAUACUGCUUGAUAAAGUGUGAAGAGAGGAUAGAAGAAGGAACAAAACAAUUCUUGAAAUCUGUCCUUUUGAGUAUUUUGAGUUAGAAUGAACCAGAAUUGAUAGAGGCCUGCUUUCACUAAUGAGAAUUUAAUUGUCUUGUGCAAUGUUCCAAUAAUGAAAAUACAUUAAUUGACAAUUGAUAUUCUUAUAAAGUAAGACUAAAAGGAUUGAGAUAGAAUUUUCUGCAAGGUAAGUGAUGAACAUUGGAGUCAAAUGGACAUGGGUACAAACUCCGAGCCAGCUCUGUUGCUUAGUUGCUGUGUGACUUUGGAUGAGUGACCUAACCUUUCUGACACUCAGUUUCCUUUAUCUGUGAAUUGGAGAGAAUAAAAACAAUCACUUCAAAGGUUUUUAGAGAUGAUGAAAUGAGACAAUGAAUGUCAGGCAGUAUAUUAAAAGUUUAGUGCAUAGAAUAAGCCUUCAAAUUGUAGUUAAUAUUAACUGUUGAUGAAAAUGUUAAAAGAAAUAUAAAUUAGAAGAAGCAGAGCAUUGCAAAUUCCAUGUGUUGCAUUUCAAGUAUGGUGAUGAAAAUAUAACUUAGCAAAUACUUUUGAAAAAGAGAUACUAUCCAAAUAAAGAUGAAUGGAGGUAUGGAAAAUUCCUGAGGGAAAAGUGUGAAAUUUAUGAAUUUGAAGUAAGGAGGUUAUUAGAGAAGAUGUGAAAAUUUUAUUAUAAUUUAAAAUCUCAGGAGGAAGGUUAUGGAAAUGGAGAAAAUGGUGCUUUAAAAAAAGAUUUAUGGAGUGGGAAGGAAGCCUGAGUUGAUAGGAAGUAGAAAUGGAGAAAGUACUUGGUUGUAGAAUGCACACAUGUUUUUAGGCUUUCUGGGAACAAGGCAAGGAAAAUAGUCCAUCAUGAUCACUGAGGUCCUACAUACAAAAAGGAUAAACUCCAUAAAAGACCUAUCUGAAGGCUUUUUCCAUACACUAUAAUAUCCCAGUGAUGAAAGAAGAAAUUUUUAAGAAGUGGCAGGAAAUCAGAAAUUGAUAAGACACAUGUAUGCUUUAUAUCUACUAUAUAAAGCACUUUCCCCUAAUUCAUCUCCAUAGUGUUCUCUUAAAUCUUUUCUUGUUUGAUUUCUAAUAGGAAAACUCUACACUUGCAGCUCCUUUUUCUUAUGUGUGUUUAUUUCUCAGAAUCUUGUAUUUUGGUUUUUGUGUGUUGAAGUUAUCUUGGUCAACAGAUUUAAUGGAAUUUUCUCAUUCUUCCUGAUUUCUAUGCAGCAUGUGACAUUGAUGAUCAUUUCUUUCUUCUUGAGAUUCUUUUCAGAGUCCUCCUAUUCUCUGAUUAGUCCUUUCUGAUCUCAUUAUUUUCUUUAAUUCCAGCCCUCCAAAUAUGUCUUCUCUUUGUUUCUGCUGUUAGGUCUCUUGUUUUUACAUCCCCACUGUGACCAUCUGAUCCUCUUCCAUGCCUUCAACCUUAAUUUCUGUUCAGAUUUCUCAAACAUCUAUAUAACUGGGCUAAAGUUUUCUCCAGAGCAUCAGUCCUACAUUCCUAGUAAUGUUUACUGCGUAUCUGCAUCUGGGUAUCCUGACAGCAACUCAGACUUAACAUUACUGAAACUAACUUAUCAGUUUCCAGGUCUUGGUUGUGCACCUCUAUCUAAAGUUGCACCAUUAUUUUCUAAAUCAGGCAGACAAGAAACUUCUGCCAUCUUUGAUUGUUCCAUCUCUCUUGCCUGUUAUAUACAACCAGUUGCCAUGCCUUGUAACUUUGCGGAGUUUUGCUAUGCAGCGGUCUGUGAAGUAGUGUGAAUGACCACUGAAUGGAAUUACUAUAUAUUGAACCAAACGUAACAAAUAGUGAUUAGAAGGUCCAUUAGAACCCUAGGCAUUCCCUGAUAGUAGAUUAGUCAUGUGAGGGAAUGAGUAUUGGAAAUAAAGCCUGGCUGGACCGUAAAGUAGGAAGUUAUGGAAGAUGGAGAGAGCAAAGGGCCAUGGGCCCAGGAAACUAGGCAUUCACAUAAUCUCCAACCCCUUGACAAAUGCAGUGCUUGAGCCAUGCGUCUCAGAACAGGUUCCUCUGCAAAGCUUUGUUAGAGUUCUGUGAAUAGCAAUGUCUGUGUAAACAUCUCUGAAUAUCCUAACAGAUUCUCAGUGCUAUUUGGAUAUGAAUAGGACAAGAGAAAAACAUUUAGUUAAAAAUUACAGAUAUGAUUUCUUUAAUUUUCUUUUUUUUUCCCACUAUAGAACAUUUGAAAGGAAGUGAUUUGAAGAGCAAGCUGGGCCUUUGUGAUUGGCCCAAAUAAAGUAUAGUGUAGUGUUGUAUUUUGUCGCCUUCCUGCUUUUAAUAAAUAGAGGCCACAUUUUGUCAGCUGUUUUCCUGAACCACACUACCUGGCAUCUCAGGGUUACAUUUUGGUCAUUUGUUUUUUUUUUUUAACUCCCUUCCCUUCUCCAAUGGGUUGAUAACAAUAUAGCAAUGCCCAUUUAUGCAGUAUCUUUUAUUUUUAAGUAAAGCAAAUGGAUUUUUGCAUCUUGCCUUACUGACAAGUUUGCAAAUGACCAAUCUUUGCUCUUUUUUCUCCCUCCCAAUUUUUCAUGGUGGUAAUUAAGGACUGUAAAUUUCACUUUAUCAUUUGUGUUAGGAAUAGUAGCAUAAAUCAUAGUAAUAGCACCGUUCAUUUCAGUAAUGCCAGCCUGCCUGCAAAUCACUUGUAAAUUUGUUCCAUGGUUGUACCUCUAUCAAAUUAAUCAAAAAACCACCUGCAUACAUUUCCUGAGCUUAUUUCGAAGGCUUAGUAACAGUGAGGAAGAAAGACCAUUGCUGACCUUUGCAUUUUUAUUUAUUUGUGAGCUCUGAAUGGCUCGUGCAUACAUUUUCGUUUUGAACCCUGGCUAACAUCUAACUGAGCAUUGUAUGUAAUGCUUUUUUUUUUUAAACACAGGUUGGGAUUUGUGCCCCAAAUAAUAUACCUGCCAGAUCGUCCUACUGUGGUUCAUACGUAGUAAUAAUAAUGUUUGAUUGGACAUAAAAUUGUAUUCCAUUUAAGAAUUUGUGAGAAGUGAUACUUUUCUGCUGAAAAAGGAUUUUUCAAGUGAGCAUAAUUGUUUUCAACGUUGGGAAGUUAGGCAACAGUCACUUACGCUUGUCCCCUGUACCCAGGAAGGUGAUACCAAUGUGUUAUUCUGAAUAUGGAGGAAAAAAGAGAAUCUUUCCUUAUGUUCCUGCUUAUGCUUUCUGGACAAUAGCUAAGACAACUCCAGUUCAGUAAGAGCCAAGUUCACAAUUUAAACUCAACACUACCUGGAACCAGUGGAGUGGGAUUAUAUUUCUUCCUUGGGAAUAUUUUCCACGUGGUAUUGAUAAAAUGAAUUCAUAUGCAAUUCAUGGAUCAGGGAUUAGAAGAAUUUAUGAAGCCCUCUAUUCAAUGCCACAUGAAGAGAUGGAAGAUGGACAAGGCCUAACUUCCAUCGCCUCGAGUAUUUCAAACCUUCCAACUUGAAGUGGAUUAUGGGAAACAACUGGGAGAAGCCAGACUCAGAGCUGUGGAAGGAGCUUUGCUGUGAUCCUUUACCUUCUGACAACACAGGUUAUAGCUCGUAACGAAAAGCACUUAACAAAUAGAACUCCAUGUACCACCACCUUUUGGCCUCAGUUGGACAGCUGAAGUAAAAUCAUUGUCUGCUACCGCUGUAAAUGUUCCAACAACACGCUAGAAAUAAAUCAUCUAAUUGAACAUGACUCUUCUGCCGUAUCUUUUACUAAU